rnacentral:rRNA from 1 species
AUGGAGUGGUUGGCUCUUAGAAGGCUUGCCAGAAAGCCAACAGCGAUGUGCGACAAGUUCGCAUCCGUUAGAUGCAUAUCGGAUGCCAUCUGGGUCUUCAUAGCUUGUGAGGUGGUACGAAGACAGGUGGAGUGUCAGAUCGCAGAGAACACAUACUUGGGUCCUGACAAGUCCCCCCAAUUCGGACCAAACUUGUCCUCGGGGCUGAGGCCUGUUGUACAAAGCUUGGAAAGGAGUGAUUUUGAGGGAUGUAUGAGGAAAGGGUGA